GGCGAGGUAGCUCAGUUGGUAGAGCACACGACUGAAAAUCGUGGUGUCCCCGGUUCAAGUCCGGGUCUCGCCA
rnacentral:tRNA from 1 species